rnacentral:rRNA from 1 species
CUGGCGGCGUGCUUAACACAUGCAAGUCGAACGAAGCAUCCCGCCCGAGAAAAUGGAGUGCUUGCACAAAGUGGACUCAAUUGGGAUGACUGAGUGGCGGACGGGUGAGUAACGCGUGGGUAACCUGCCCUAUACAGGGGGAUAGCAGUUGGAAACGACUGAUAAUACCGCAUAAGCGCACGGUAUCGCAUGAUACAGUGUGAAAAACUCCGGUGGUAUAGGAUGGACCCGCGUCUGAUUAGCUAGUGGUGAGGUAACGGCUCACCAAGGCGACGAUCAGUAGCCGACCUGAGAGGGUGACCGGCCACAUUGGGACUGAGACACGGCCCAAACUCCUACGGGAGGCAGCAGUGGGGAAUAUUGCACAAUGGGCGAAAGCCUGAUGCAGCGACGCCCGCGUGAGUGAUGAAGUAUUUCGGUAUGUAAAGCUCUAUCAGCAGGGAAGAUAAUGGCGGUACCUGACUAAGAAGCACCGGCUAAAUACGUGCCAGCCGCUGC